rnacentral:rRNA from 1 species
AUUGAACGCUGGCGGCAGGCUUAACACAUGCAAGUCGAGCGAGCGGCGGACGGGUGAGUAAUGUCUGGGAAACUGCCUGAUGGAGGGGGAUAACUACUGGAAACGGUAGCUAAUACCGCAUACCAUCAGAUGUGCCCAGAUGGGAUUAGCUAGUAGGUGGGGUAAUGGCUCACCUAGGCGACGAUCCCUAGCUGGUCUGAGAGGAUGACCAGCCACCCUGGAACUGAGACACGGCCAGGACCCCUACGGGAGGCGGCGGGGGGGAUUUUUGCACAAUGGGCGCAAGCCUGAGGCAGCCAUGCCGCGUGUGUGAAGAAGGCCUUCGGGUUGUAAAGCACUUUCAGCGAGGAGGCGUUACUCGCAGAAGAAGCACCGGCUAACUCCGUGCCAGCAGCCGCGUAAUUC